rnacentral:rRNA from 1 species
AGCAGCCGCGGUAAUUCCAGCUCCAAUAGCGUAUAUUAAAGUUGUUGCAGUUAAAAAGCUCGUAGUUGAAUUUCGGGGUCAGUAGGUCGGUCGUGCCACUGGUAUGUACUGGUCUCACUGAUUCCUCCUUCCUGAUGAGCCGUAAUGCCAUUAAUUUGGUGUUGCGGGGAAUUUGGACUGUUACUUUGAAAAAUUAGAGUGUUUAAAGCAAGCUAAACGUCUU